GUGUUGUCUUUAAUAUGCUGUAUGUGGACAGGUAGAAGGGCUAUACAAUGAAAAGGAUGCUUGAAGUACAUGGUGCUUCCAUGCUGAGGUCAAUGAUUAUCUCUGGGAUGAAGGCAAAUGUGCAAAUGUGGGCACAGUCUCUGCACAUUGUACUGCCUUUAAUAAUUUGCCAGCCGUUUAAUAUGGAGAGCCUAUCACAGUAAUAUUCACCUUUGUUUAUUCUUUAGAUUGACCCUGCUACGGGAAUGGUUAUGAAUCUGGCUGAUCUCAAAAAAUAUAUGGAGGAGGCGAUUAUGCAGCCCCUUGAUCAUAAGAAUCUGGAUAUGGAUGUGCCAUACUUUGCAGAUGUGGUGAGCACGACUGAAAAUGUAGCUGUUUAUAUCUGGGACAACCUCCAGAAAGUUCUUCCUGUAGGAGUUCUUUAUAAAGUAAAAGUAUACGAAACUGACAAUAAUAUUGUGGUUUAUAAAGGAGAAUAGCUAUUGGGGUUAGCAUUGCACAAAGCCCAGUUUCUUUCUGUGUUUGAAAAAGAUUUUGAUCCCCUUGGAAUAUUAAGAGGUCAACACGUGAUUGUUGUACGUACACAUUGUGCUCUGGAGUG
rnacentral:lncRNA from 1 species